UCGAGAGAGUAGGCAUAUUAGGUUUCUGAAGAUCAAAUCAAGUAGAGUCUAAAUAGACUCAUGUGUAUAUAAAAAACUUGGCUAUAUUAGUAGGGUAACACGAGUACAUAGUCAAAACACUACUAACAGUAAUAAUGCUAGUACUAGUAACACUCAGCUAAUGGAGAAAAAUAAUAGAAAAUUCAUUGAAAGACUCAAGAGGAU
rnacentral:lncRNA from 1 species